UGGGAAUUUUGGACAAUGGGCGCAAGCCUGAUCCAGCCAUGCCGCGUGCGGGAAGAAGGCCUUCGGGUUGUAAACCGCUUUUGUCAGGGAAGAAAUCCUUUGAGCUAAUACCUCGGGGGGAUGACGGUACCUGAAGAAUAAGCACCGGCUAACUACGUGCCAGCAGCCGCGGUAAUACGUAGGGUGCAAGCGUUAAUCGGAAUUACUGGGCGUAAAGCGUGCGCAGGCGGUUAUGCAAGACAGAUGUGAAAUCCCGGGCUCAACCUGGGAACUGCAUUUGUGACUGAAUAGCUGGAGUGCGGCAGAGGGGGAUGGAAUUCCGCGUGUAGCAGUGAAAUGCGUAGAUAUGCGGAGGAACACCGAUGGCGAAGGCAAUCCCCUGGGCCUGCACUGACGCUCAUGCACGAAAGCGUGGGGAGCAAACA
rnacentral:rRNA from 1 species